GACGAACGCUGGCGGCGUGCUUAACACAUGCAAGUCGAACGAUGAAGCCCAGCUUGCUGGGUGGAAGAGUGGCGAACGGGUGAGUAACACGUGAGCAACCUGCCCUUCACUCUGGGAUAAGCACUGGAAACGGUGUCUAAUACUGGAUAUGCACAAUGGCCGCAUGGUCUGUUGUGGGAAAGAUUUAUCGGUGAAGGAUGGGCUCGCGGCCUAUCAGCUUGUUGGUGAGGUAGUGGCUCACCAAGGCGACGACGGGUAGCCGGCCUGAGAGGGUGACCGGCCACACUGGGACUGAGACACGGCCCAGACUCCUACGGGAGGCAGCAGUGGGGAAUAUUGCACAAUGGGCGCAAGCCUGAUGCAGCAACGCCGCGUGAGGGAUGACGGCCUUCGGGUUGUAAACCUCUUUUAGUAGGGAAGAAGCGAAAGUGACGGUACCUGCAGAAAAAGCACCGGCUAACUACGUG
rnacentral:rRNA from 1 species